ACCCACGCGGCGCAGCUCCCAAAGUUGCAGACAGCCCGGCGAACCGCGCAAUGCGCUUCUUCUGCCUGCAGCAGAGAAAAGGAAAGAAAACUCCGCAGGGGCUCCGUUGGCUUCUCCACGAGUGACAACCAUGUUUUCCCAGAUAGAAGACCGGAGCCCUGCUCCUUUGCGAUCCGCCGAGGGCUGCAGAGAGCAUCCUCAUCCAUUUGGGCACCCCUGCCCAGGAAGAGCCCGGCCAUCCCUUUCCGGACUGGAUCCUUAAGAGGUGAAUUUUCUUCCGUGGAUUCCGAUUUGCUCCGUCUGACCAGCCUAGGCAAUCCAGCAUCGCGUGGUACCAGUGCCGCUGGGCACACUGGCUUCACGCCGGCUCCGCCUCACCAGCAAGCGCAUUCCCAGGUGGUCAGGCUCAGGAUGGACCAUGAGCUUUCAAAAAGGAAAAAGCUUUUUCUGGAGGAAAUUCGCAUUUGAAUUGAUGGACUGAAUAAAGCAGAUUGCAGUCCCCAGUGUGGAUGGGCUUGAUCCAGUCUUCUAAGGACCCAAAUAAAAUAGGUGGAGGAAGCUUGAAUUUUCUGCCUGACUGUGGCGCUGGGACACCCAUCUUCUCCUGCCCUUGAACUGGGACUGACACCAUCAGUGCUCCUGGUUCUCAGACCUUCGGACAGCAGACUUGGGGCCUUCUCGGCCUCCAUUAUUGUAGGAGAAAAUGAGACACUGAGUGGGACUCAGGGAUUGCUCCAGGCCACACAGUCAGCAGGAGGCAAAGCCCAGAUUCAAAUGCAGAUUACUCAGCUCCACAAUCCACAUCCUCACAGGAGGCUGCACUCCUUGCCCAAGCGUCAGACAGGAGCAAAGAGAAAGAAGGCAACCAGCUGGCUACUUUCUUCCCUUCUUGGAUGCCUCCAACAGGGUGAGAAGGACUAAACAAAUGACCAAGUGUCAUCCCAUUUUGGACAUACUUAAAACACCCCAUGGAAUUUUUAUUCUGACUUUCUUCUGCCUGUGUGGCAUUUAUGUUUAAAUAAAAGAGAAUUCAACUCG
rnacentral:lncRNA from 1 species